GACAAAGCAUUUGCAAGGCGGGGAAAAUAUUAACCACUUUAUUUCUGGGCUUCGUACCUGACUCCUAAUUUUCAAAAUGCUUUAUUGUUUUCCCUUGGGUUUUCAAAUUCUUUUUUACAUUAUCCAUUUUCUUCUUUUAGUUGGCUUUGUUUUGUGUUUCUCUGCUGUGAGGAAGACAGGUGGGCAACAGAGAAAGUUCUGAGAGGGGAGAAGAUCAAGGAAGCUUGAAGGAACAACUCAACAAUCUGAACUUCAGUUGCAUAAAAAUAAUUCCAGAUUUGAAAAGGAUUUUGGUUUGUAAGUGCCCCUGAGCUCAACUACUUCUGAAGAGUUAAAUCUGCGAGAAAACACUGUUUGGAAGAAGGUGUUUCACAAAAGGACAGUGAACAAGCUGCCUGCGUGAAAAAAAUAGAAGAGAAAAAGAAAUGAAAGAAAAAUCUGCCAUUCACUGAGUGAGUACCUCUUACUUGUGAUGCACUGGGCAAAGCACACCUUAAUAUUCAACACUGCAAUUCAUUUAGUUUAAUAGCUGCAUUUUUAAUACAUUUUAACAUAUUGUACAUCCAAAACAAUGUCUUCUGGUAAACUAUCUUAGAGAAGAAAGAAGCCAUUUCUAUCUGAAAAGCUAGCUGUGAGAAGUUAGAAGGCACACAGCUGCUGACAGCUGGAGGACUGGUAUUGUAAGGAGAUCCUUGGAGAAGUGCAGUUGAGCUUGCAGUCUCUGAGACCACAUGUGGGAAGACUUGUCAGCAUUGAUAGUUGCUUCUGCAUUUGCUUGUCCAGGGCUUCCACUGCCUUUCUCUUUUAUCUCAUGAAAACAAACUAGUCAAUAGGACUUAUAGAACAAAAUUACCUGAUAUCCAGAGCAAAUUUUCUUGAGCCUUCAUUCUACCUUUUGAUAGAUUUCCUUAUGAAAUAUUGUGAUUUUAUCCUCAUGCCUUGGUUACCUCUGACUUGUAGAUUUUCUCUCAGGCCCUUGAAGACACUUUGUAUGAACUCCAACAGAAAUGGGGUAAAACCCUUAAAGACAAAGAAGGUUCUGGAAAAAAAGUUUGGGAGAGGUAAAGGGAACACAAUCCCAAUAGCCGGUGAAAUAUUUGCCCCAGGGUAUCUAUUCUGUUUCUCCUCAUUAAGUGUUAUCUCACAAAAAAGAGUAGCUUGAGCUCUGGAAACAUUUCCCAGUGAUUUGAUCUCAUGAGAAUUUCCUCAGCAUAAACAUAAAAAAUAAUACAGCUAGAGAAAGCUAAUAACACUUCCCAGUAUGAACUGUCCCCAUGCUUUGCUUUUGGAUUGUGUCAUUGCGACUUAGCAUUGGCUAAUAAAAAAUGCUUUUAAAAACAUAUUCUGAGCAAGGAGAAUAAAAGGGCGUGGGUCAGAAUCUGACCAGAAGAACAGCUCCUCAUUUGACUGUGUGGCUGGCCUAUGUCUUGAGUCUAUAGGCCCACCCUUGUUACAUAUGUACUCAGAAAAGCCAAAGUUCCUGCCACACUCAUUUUUCAAAGGUAGCAGUCCUAGAGGAGCAAUAUCAAAUGUCAACUAUGUGAAGAGAAUUUUAAACUAUAGACAGGCAGUAUGUUUAGAGGUUAGGGGCCAAAGAGAUCAGCAAUAGGUCAGGAAGUAGACUGUGAGAUUGUCAAAAUAAAAAAAUGUUCAGGACAUAAGUGGAGAACCUGGCAAGAGUGAGAGACAGUUUGUAUUUACUAGGUAUUGACCAACAGCAGUGUGCUGAGUCUAACUCAACUUUUUACCUUUUACACCAAGGGAAGUGAUCUACUGCCUGGAAAAUGGGGAAUACUACUGCUUUUUCUCUGCUUUGUAGUUUACAGGUCUCAUUGCAAAAAUCAUCUCAUUUGUGCCCUCAACAACCUAGUAAGGCUCUGGAAACCGAGUCCCAGAAGUUUGGUGGUUUGGACAGAAUUGCUGAAGAAAUUAACAGAAAAGGAUGGAACUAAAAUUCAGGUUUUAUAACUUUCCCUCUAGUGAUUUUUAUGAGAUAUUGACUACAAAUCUGUAUCUUGCUUUAACUUAUUGGGAAAAUCUCUUUGCAGAAUAUAGGAUUUCAGCCGGAAAUAUGAUUGGCAGAAUAGUUCCGUUUAUAGAACCUAUUUAUAUAACCAGAAUCUCCCUCUCUGGAGACCUAUAAAGAAAGUUAUCUUUUGGAUAUGACUUAAAAGAAGGCCUACCUAUCCUGAAGCAAGGACAUGUCUAAAAUGUUCUUGAUAAUGACUUAUGAUACUGAGAUUUUUAAAAAUGGUUUCUUGUCUUCAUAAUGAAAAAGAAAAAGAAGAGAACAUAACACUAAGCCAUUCUUAUUAUCUCUGUUUACCCAGGCAAAGCAUUGACCUUCAACUGUUCCUCAUUUCUUUCUAUUGCCUCCACCAGUUGCAUGUUCUUAAUGUUGUUACAUAAAUGAGUCUAAUUAAGAACAUAAGUCUCAGAUGGCAGAAAAUCACUUAGCUUCUCUCUAUGACAUGGAGUUUAAAGGAAAUAGAAUUAAAAUUCAGAGUAGUAUCACAGUAUCUGUUUCUUUCUCUCAUUCUCUCUCUCCUCCCACUCUCUUCCCACCCCCACUUCUCUAACAUAAUGAUUCUCUUGACUUAUAUUCCUCAUCAGCAUCUUGCCUGUUGGAUUUUCAUCCCAAUGCAUUCUUCUUUCAUAGUUUUUUUUUCCUAUGCCUUACACAUAAUGUGAAACAGAUAUCUUCUAAAAGUUGCUUCCACUUUGUGUAGUAAAUCAUUUCCAGAGGUAAACUCUUCUCUUUUAUUCUGCAGGAAUUUUUUCCCUCAGGUCUCAUGUUGGUCCAUCCGUUCAUCUUAACUGACAGUUUGUCAAGAGCAGAUCUAUUCAGACCAACUGUAAGCUAACACAUAGGGAACAUAUACUCACCUCUCUUACUAUCUAAGCUAAAGGAUGGGG